UUCUACUUUCUCACAGGACACUACUGUGCCAGGCCCAAGUGGGCCCAAGUGAACUUCAUAGGCCCCGCCCCCGCCCCGCCCCCACCCCCAUGCUGAUGUUGCUGACUUGGUGUUUGGCUUCUCUAAGCUUCCGCUGCAUUCAUUGCCCGCACUUCUCUUGUUUUAUUUCCCACCUUGCUCCCUACUUUAAGACGUCAUUUGGGAGGAAGGCCCUGUCUCCAGCCAGCAGAGCACAGGGUUGAGAGCCCUGUGGCUAAAGCCUGCUUCUGUCUGUCCCUGGCUGUCCGACCUCAGGCAAGCCGCUUCACAGGUCUGGGCGUCAGUUUCCUCAGCAAGUGACAGUAGGUAGAAACGGCCGCAGGGGGCUCUUCUAGGCGUUUGAGUUCAUAUUCAUAAAGCUCCGGGCUCUUCACUGACACCAGAAGGGAUUGGAGAGUUCUGUUCUUUGGAAAUGUCAAUGCAGUGAAAGAUGGUGAGCAUCUGUGAAACGCUUCAGACUAAAGAAGGCUCCGGUCAAGUAAACAGAACAUGUAUGUGCCACAAGAGUGGAGUGCCUACAGAGGCCAGAAGAGGGCAUCAGAAGCCCUGGAAAUGGAGUUACAGACCAUGAGGGUCCUGGGAAUUGAAUCCAGGCCUUCUGAAGAGCCAGCAGUGCUCUCAACUACUGAACCAUCUCUCCAGACCAAAGAGGGAAUGUUUUAUCUCACAGGAAAUUACUAUACAACACACACACACACAUACACACACUAGUGUAAAUUCACAAUCUCUUUCAAAAAAGGACAGCACAACUCUGGCAUGCUUGCUUAGAAACAAUGGUCAAAAGGGACCUGGUAAGAUUGUUCAGUGGGUAAAGGCACUUUAUAGGCAAGCCUGGUGAUAUGAGUUCAAGCACCAGAUCCUGAUGUAGGAGGGUUAUCUGUCUAUGUGUUAAUUUCAUUGGUUAAUAAAGAAACCGUCUUGGCCUUUUGAUAGGCCAGCCCUUAGGUAGGUAGAGUAGACAGAACAGAAUGCUGGGAAGAAGGCAGUGAGGCAAAUGCCAUGAAGCUCCGACCUAAGAUGGACAUAGGCUAGAAUCUUCCCGGUAAGCCACCACCUUGUGGUGCUACAAACAUUAAUAGAAAUGGGUUAAUCAAGAUGUGAGAAUAAGCCAAUAAGAUGCUGAAACUAAUGGGCCAGGCAGUGUUUAAAUGAAUACAAUUUGUGUGUUGCUAUUUCAGGGCAUACGCUAGCCAGGCAGCCAGGAGCCAGGUGGCAGGAACGCAACCUGCUGUUCCUUCUACAAGAUCCCAUGUGAGGAUAGAAGUUGUCCUAUGACCUUCAUGCAUGCACCAUGGCACCCCCACCACCAUACACCCCAAAAGCAAUAGAAAAAGGAAUCAAUGGUCAGAGACAUAUUCGUGUUUUCUGUUUCUAGAAGUAGGCAAACUGUUCAAUGUAAAGUUCCUAUUACACAAUCCCAAGUACUUGAAGUAAGUCCUGAGUGACUGUUUCUCACAACUCAGAUAGUGAAGUUUAAGAUUAGCAGUAACUACCACAGGGCCCCAGCCUGAGACUAGCACAUCAGACAUUGAGCCCAAAGUGCUUUGUGGGCACUGAGGUGGUAGAAGGGAGACCAUGCAGGGGAGGUGAUAAUGGAGCUAGGUCAUGUCAGGGAGUCAGGCAGAGACCAGAGAUGGAGAGGAAAGCAUCCUGGGCAGAAAUAACUGUCUGAGCAAGAUGCAUACAGACAGAGCCACUGAGGGCAUCUAGAGGUGCUGGAGGAGGAGAGAACAUUAGUGAGGCCAUGUUUCCUGUGAGGGAGCUGAGCUCGGAUAGUAACCACUGGUUCUGUGACCUCUGAGGGUGGACAUGGAAGCUUGAUUGCAAGGGAGGGGCAUGGCCAAGCUGCAGACAAGGAAGAGAAGGUUGUAGAGGGCCUAGUUAUCCAUCUCUGCUUUGACUUUAUUGACAUUUAAUACAUUUAAUACAUAUAUGUCUAUGUCGUGAAUAAUACACAUAUACAUAUAUGUAUAUGGCUUGAAUAAUACAUAUAUACAUAUAUGUAUAUGGCUUGAAUAAUUUCCUUCUUGAUUUCUAACGUAGUCUUAAGAAGGACUAACAGUAAGUUGGUAGAAGGAGAAAUGUGGGCUUUAGUGGUUAGGUCAAUGGAGUUGGUCUUGGGGUAAGGAAGGUGUCUUAGGGUUUCUGUUGCCUCAAUGAAACACCAUGACCAAAAAGUAAGUUGGAGAAGAAAGUAUUAAUUCAGUUGACACUUCCAUAUCACUAUUCAUCAUCAAAGGAAGUCAGGACAGGAACUCAAACAGGGCAGGAACCUGGGACAGGAGCUGAUGCAGAGGAUCAUGCCAUGGAGGGGUGCUCCUUACUGACUUGCUCUCAUGGCUUGCUCGGCCUUCUUUCUUAUAGAAAGCCCAGGGAUGGCACCACCCAUAAUGGACUGGGCCCUACCCCAUCAAUCACUAGUUAAGAAAAUGCCUUACAGCUGGAAUUUUGGAGGCAUUUUCUCCAUUGAGGUUCCCUCCAUUCAGAUAACUCCAGCUUGUGUCAAGCUGACAUAGACCGCCAGCACCGCAGGUGUGGUGGCCUGAAUGAGACAGCCUAGGCUCAUUUAUUCGCAUGCCUAGGCCCCAGUUGACAAGUUGUUUGGAAGGAGGGGUGUGGCCCUGUUCAGCAGCUUGGAGGAGAUGUGCCACCCAGAGUAGGGAUUGAGUCUUCAGAAGCCUAUGCCAGGCCCAAUGUCUCUUUCUCUUCCUGUUAACAGCCUGCAGAUCAGGAUGUAAAGCUCUCAGCCCCACUUCCAGUGCUAUGCCUGCCUGCUUCCCAUCAUGAUGAUAAACAACUAACCUUCCAAAACUGUAAGUAAACUCCCAACUAAAUGCCCUCAUUCAUGAGUCACCUUGGUCAUCGUGUCUUUUUAUAGCAAUAGAACACUAAGACAAGAUUGUAUUUGUUUUUGGCAAGAGGAGCUAGAUAAGAGGAAGAGACAGAACCUUUAAGAGAAAGGUGGCGGGACCAGGAAAAAUUGCUCAGCAUUAAAGAGCACAUACACUCUUCCAAGUUCAGUUCCCAGCACACCCAUGAGACAGCUUAUGGUCACCUGUAACUCCAGCUCUAGGUGACUCAGCUACCUUUUCUGCCCUCCACAGAACCUGCACUCACAUGCUCAUACCCCCACGCAGAUGCACAUACAUGCAUACAUGCAUACAUACAUACAUACAUACAUACAUACUGUUAUGAUUUACGGCAGGUGGGAGACCGCAGCAGGUAAGGGACAGACAAAUAUGCCAUACAGAGAGAGCUUGGGUAUGGAUUUUAAAAAUAUAAGAGAAAAGCGGGAAAUUGAUGGAGAAUAAGGAUACAUAUGGAAGAGGCGGGCCCCCAAAGCAGCUGAUGUUUAAAACAGAGAUGAUAGCUGGAAUGAAACUUGGUAUAGCACUGGUCUAAUUUAAUACACAUGAGGCUCUGGAUUUGAUCCCCAGCACCGUAAAACAGCAAGGAUGACGUUAGCGCCUACUGCACAGGACUGUUAAGGAUAUUGGGUAAGUCUGUUUAUGUAACACAGAGAGGUCAAUACACAGCGCGGCACACAGCUCGUGGCAGGUGCUAAGGAAGAGAUAAUGAUGCUGAUGUUGAUGAUGAUGAUGGCACUGAUGAUGAAAGCCUUUAGGGGACAGGAAAGAUGAAGCCCACAGGUAGGCACAGGGGCACUAAUGUGAGAAUUCUUUCCACACGAGAGGUAAAUAGAGUCAGUCUAUCCUCUCUUUUUAAAGUCCCAAGGACAAACCACAGUAUUCUACCAAAGUUCAACCUGGGGAAGCAGCGGG